rnacentral:rRNA from 1 species
UAGGGAAUCUUCCACAAUGGACGAAAGUCUGAUGGAGCAACGCCGCGUGAGUGAUGAAGGGUUUCGGCUCGUAAAACUCUGUUGUUGGAGAAGAACGGGUGUCAGAGUAACUGUUGACAUCGUGACGGUAUCCAACCAGAAAGCCACGGCUAACUACGUGCCAGCAGCCGCGGUAAUACGUAGGUGGCAAGCGUUGUCCGGAUUUAUUGGGCGUAAAGCGAGCGCAGGCGGUUUUUUAGGUCUGAUGUGAAAGCCUUCGGCUUAACCGGAGAAGUGCAUCGGAAACCGGGAGACUUGAGUGCAGAAGAGGACAGUGGAACUCCAUGUGUAGCGGUGAAAUGCGUAGAUAUAUGGAAGAACACCAGUGGCGAAGGCGGCUGUCUGGUCUGCAACUGACGCUGAGGCUCGAAAGCAUGGGUAGCGAACAGGAUUAGAUACCCUGGUAGUCCAUGCCGUAAACGAUGAGUGCUAAGUGUUGGGAGGCUUUCCGC